GUUUAUGCCCGUGGAACCCAUGUGGACAAAAAAUUUUGUGCCUCGCGCGAGUGGAAUCUGCCUGGUUGUGGUUCCCGGGGGCACAAAAUGUGCCUGGCAUCACGGGAUUGCUGGGCCAAUUGUCCAGGUAGUUGCGAGACCCUCCGUUCCCCUUUCACCCUAACCAUAGAGCCAUUCGCUUCAUCAGAGAUCUAGUCCUCUGUUCCUCCGUCCUCUUCUUCCUCGUUCUGCAAUGGCGGCGCAAAGCCAAGGAUUUCUCCUGAAGAUGACUUCCCCAUGCUCCUCUGGUGGCUGGCAGUCGCCUCCCGUUGUGCAGCACAACGUGGAGUUCAGCAGUCCUGCACCAGUGGAGUGUCCAAUGGCGUUGCUUAUCAAGAAUGAGGAUGAGGAUUUGAGUGUCUACUAGCUUGGUUCAUAGCAGUUUGAAGGGUGGACAAUGGGACGAGAGCUUCUAGAGACAAAAGGAAGUAUUUGGUGGAGAGUACACAAAAUCAAGCUCUAAUGGUGAUAGACGAUGGAAUUUCAGUUGGAAUCAUUUUGCGGGGUCGCGUGAAUGGAUACAAAUUGAACUAGAGAUCUCAGCCUUCAAAUUCCUUUCUUUGCAAGGAUCGCCAGUUGAUUUGGCUGACUAAUAGGGUCAUUUGGGGAUUCAAUUGUGAGCUGUUUUGGG